rnacentral:rRNA from 1 species
GAGUUUGUCGGUUGGUCGGGCUUCACUGUCCGCACUGGCCUGAUGGAUUCCUACCUUCUGAAUAACCAGCAUGCUAUUAAGUUAGUGCGUUGGGGAAGCAGAGCUAUUACCUUAAAAAAAUUAGAGUGUUCAAAGCAGGCCUUUGCCCGAAUACAUUAGCAUGGCAUAAUAAAAUAGGACGUGCGGUUCUAUUUUGUUGGUUUCUAGAGUCGCCGUA